GCCCUUGUGGCACAGCGGUAGUGCGUCCCCCUGGUACGGGGAAGGCCGGCGGUUCGAAUCCGCCCUUGGGCU
rfam:Frankia sp. BMG5.36 contig_107, whole genome shotgun sequence.